UACGUAGGCAGCAAGCGUUGUUCGGAAUCACUGGGCGUAAAGCGCACGUAGGCGGCUUUUUAAGUCAGGGGUGAAAUCCUGGAGCUCAACUCCAGAACUGCCUUUGAUACUGAGAAGCUUGAGUCCGGGAGAGGUGAGUGGAACUGCGAGUGUAGAGGUGAAAUUCGUAGAUAUUCGGAGGAACACCAAGUGGCGAAGGCGGCUCACUGGUCCAUUACUGACGCUGAGGUGCGAAAGCGUGGGGAGCAAA
rnacentral:rRNA from 1 species